rnacentral:rRNA from 1 species
CCCUUAGAUGUUCUGGGCCGCACGCGCGCUACACUGACGAAUGCAACGAGCUUAUAACCUUGGCCGAAAGGUUUGGGUAAUCUCCAAAUUUCGUCGUGAUGGGGAUAGAUUAUUGCAAUUAUUAAUCUUCAACGAGGAAUGCCUAGUAAGCGCAAGUCAUCAGCUUGCGUUGAUUACGUCCCUGCCCUUUGUACACACCGCCCGUCGCUCCUACCGAUUGAAUGGUCCGGUGAAGCGUUCGGACCGUGGCCUUUGGACGGUUCGCCGUCUGUUGGCUGCGGGAAGUUCGUUAAACCUUAUCAUUUAGAGGAAGGAGAANUCGUAGCA